rnacentral:tRNA from 1 species
GCGGGGGUCGCCUAGCCCGGUAGGGCGUGAGAUUGCUAAUUUCAUGUUCGCAAGAACUCGUGGGUUCAAAUCCCUCUCCCCGCGCCA